rnacentral:rRNA from 1 species
GAUGAACGCUGGCGGCAUGCCUAACACAUGCAAGUCGAUCGGUAAGGCUCUUCGGAGUACACGAGAGGCGGACGGCUGAGUAACGCGUAGGAACACACCCUGCAGUGAGGGAUAAGACACCGAAAGGUGUUCUAAUACCGCAUACGGUCUUCGGAUUAAAGCAUUUAUGCGCUGAAGGAGUGGCCUGCGUCAUAUUAGAUAGUUGGUGAGGUAAUGGCUCACCAAGUCGAUGAUGUGUAGCUGGUCUGAGAGGAUGAUCAGCCAGACUGGAACUGAGACACGGUCCAGACUCCGACGGGAGGCAGCAGUGAGGAAUAUUUCACAAUGAGCGAAAGCGUGAUGGAGCAAUGCCGCGUGCAGGAUGAAGGCCCUCGGGUUGUAAACUGCUUUUAUAAGAGAAGAUUAUGACGGUAACUUAUGAAUAAGGGACGGCUAACUACGUG